rnacentral:rRNA from 1 species
GACGAACGCUGGCGGCGUGCUUAACACAUGCAAGUCGAACGGAAAGGCCCUGCUUGCCGGGUGCUCGAGUGGCGAACGGGUGAGUAACACGUGGGUGAUCUGCCCCUUACUUUGGGAUAAGCCUGGGAAACUGGGUCUAAUACUGGAUAGGACCAUGCUGUAGGUGGUGUGGUGGAAAGAUUAGUUUCGGUAAGGGAUGAGCUCGCGGCCUAUCGGCUUGUUGGUGGGGUAAUGGCCUACCAAGGCGUCGACGGGUAGCCGGCCUGAGAGGGUGGACGGCCACAUUGGGACUGAGAUACGGCCCAGACUCCUACGGGAGGCAGCAGUGGGGAAUAUUGCACAAUGGGCGCAAGCCUGAUGCAGCGACGCCGCGUGGGGGAUGACGGCCUUCGGGUUGUAAACUCCUUUCAGCCAUGACGAAGCCCUUGUGGUGACGGUAGUGGUAGAAGAAGCACCGGCUAACUACGUG